rnacentral:tRNA from 1 species
GCGGACAUGGUGGAAUUGGUAGACACGCUAGCUUGAGGUGCUAGUGGGCGAAAGCUUGUGCUGGUUCAAGUCCAGUUGUCCGCA